UUACGGGAGGCAGCAGUGGGGAAUUUUGGGCAAUGGGCGCAAGCCUGACCCAGCAACGCCGCGUGAAGGACGAAAUCCCUCUGGGAUGUAAACUUCGAAAGUCAGGAAAGAAAUCCGCGUGGAUAAUACCCGUGCGGGAUGACGGUACCUGACGUAAGCCCCGGCUAACUACGUGCCAGCAGCCGCGGUAAUACGUAGGGGGCAAGCGUUGUUCGGAAUUACUGGGCGUAAAGGGCGCGUAGGCGGCACGGCAAGUCGGGAGUGAAAGGCCUGGGCUCAACCGAGGAACUGCUUUCGAGACUGCCGAGCUAGAGUGCGGAAGGGGCAACUGGAAUUCCCAGUGUAGCGGUGAAAUGCGUAGAUAUUGGGAAGAACACCUGAGGCGAAGGCGGGUUGCUGGGCCGACACUGACGCUGAGGCGCGAAAGCCAGGGGAGCAAACGGGAUUAGAUACCCCGGUAGA
rnacentral:rRNA from 1 species